UUCACCAUUUUAAGAUUUAAUUUUUUUUUGGUUUUCAUAUUAAGAUCCGUUUUCUUCAUUUCUUGGUUUGAAUGUGGUGGACGGUGGUCUCUGGGUAGUGGUUGUGGUCUCUGAUUUCUCAGUGCAUCUUUGGGGGACAAAUUUGUAUUGUGAUCUCACUAGUCUAAUGUGUUAAUGUUCUUGUAGAUUCACAUCGGUGUGAGAAGUUUCGGUCUUUUGGCGUGGUGGUGGCAAUAUCUCGAGGAGAAGUCAUUACAAAGCGUCGAAGUUUUGAUUCAGAUCUGAACUAUUGGGUUACUCUUCUCUAUAUCCCGACUGUUUUGAGGACGGUGGGUGAAUUUAGGGUUAGGAUUUUCCCGAUGGCGAUGGAGGUUAGUGCACCUUUGUUCUAUCCACUCACUGGCUCCAAAUCGGCGAAGCCGGUUAGAUCUGACUUCCUCAAGUCUUUCGAUUUUUUUUUUGUUUCUCUUCAUGUUCUUAGAAUCAAAUCAGCAGUCUUUCGAUUGCGUUUUUGACGGUAGUCUAACCCAACUCAUUAAGUCUGAUGAUUUCUUCCGGAUGAGUAACAUCUCUUUUCGGUUCUAUAUCUAUUGGAGGUUCUGUGGCGAUCGUCCGACAACUUCGGCUAG
rnacentral:lncRNA from 1 species